UACAGAGGGUGCGAGCGUUAAUCGGAAUUACUGGGCGUAAAGCGUGCGUAGACGGUUAUUUAAGUCGGAUGUGAAAGCCCCGGGCUCAACCUGGGAAUUGCAUUCGAGACUGAAUAGCUAGGGUACGGUAGAGGGAAGCGGAAUUUCCGGUGUAGCGGUGAAAUGCGUAGAUAUCGGGAGGAACACCUGUGGCGAAGGCGGCCCCCUGGUUGGAUACUGACGCUGAUACGCGAAAGCGUGGGGAGCAAACAGG
rnacentral:rRNA from 1 species